GAGAUCAGCACUGGUUACUGCAGAAGUGGUCAGCAGAGGUGCCACGUCAGCUGGGGCCUGCAGAGCAGUGGUUCCUCCUGCCCUGGCCCACCAACCUGGCUGGGAAGGCAUGCGUGUGUGCAGGAGCUGACUGACACACUGCUUACAUUUCUAUGCAAGCCUUGGUCAUCAGUCCUGAGAGAGCUUAUCUGAGCUGCAGAGGGAAACUGAUGCUUGCGCCUGAGCUUGCCUAGGGUAAUAGAGACCGAAGGGCCUGCUUUGGAGCAUCCUUCCUGUCUGUGGGCUGUGGGUGACCACAUCCUAGCCUUCCAGGAAGGCAGGAUGCUGGUCCUCUUGCAGACAGCAAGUUGAACUCAGACUCUCCGCUUAGCCUCUCCUAACUUUCCUGCUCCCCCUGUGUGCCCUUCCCAGUGGUGAUUUCUUUUUUCCCCUAUUUGGUUUUUGAGACAAGCUAGCCUCAGACUCAGUGUAGCUGAGGGUAACCUGGAGCUGCUGACCCUUCUGCCCCCACCUUCCCCAGUGCUGGGUAGAUUUGGAGGGCAGAACUCCAAAAAUUUUUCCCAUUGGUGUACGAGUAAGUGCAAGGAUCUGGGCAAUCAGCAACCUUCCCUUAGACACCCUCCCUAGGUUGUCUCCUGCUGGAAACAAGGGUCCUGGGGAGAUUGGGGAGAAGAGUUUACUGGGGAGAGCGGUGCUCAUGCAAGAGUACCUGGCAGGGGGACAAAGGAGCAGAGGCCAGCUAGAGACUGGCCCUCUCUCCCUCUGAGCACUGAAUUGCCAGGUCCUACUUGUGUCGAAUGGUGUUCAGUUCCAGUUUGCCAUGAUGGUGGCAUGAUGGACAGGAAUCCAAGCUUCUUCUGUCGCUGUGCAAUCAGCUUCAGUCAUCAUAGUCUCUACCUCGAGGUGCAAUAUGAUUGCUGGUGUUCCUGCCACAUGUCAUCAUUGCAGAAGGCAAGAAGAAAGAAGUAGGGGAAGAGGGGCAUUCUUCAUUUCCGAAGAUGCAUCCUGCCUCAGUUUCUCCAUGUACAUAAGCAAGAGUCCUUGCAAGGGAAGCAGCCUGGAGCUCUCUGUAGGGUCUUCUGCAGAAAUGCUGGACAGAGGAAGAGGAUCACGGUGGGCCACACUGCUCUCCCAGGAGCGCUUCUGGCAUCCAGGACUUUGGACUGGGCUUAGGGAAGGGAGCUGUAGUGCAAAAAGCUGAAGAGGUGAAGGGACCAGCUCCCCAUUUCGGCAGCCAUAACAGCCGGACACGUGCUUUUCUGACCUUUCCUUGGUCACUAGAGGUUAGGUGCCUGCCUGCAAGGAACCAAUCAGAAGUU